CCUUCUUUAGAUCAAAUUUUCCGAAAAUUCGUGAAAUGUUCCAUUGCGAAUGUUCAUUGUGAGACGCAAACGACGGUUGACUCUUACCAGGCUUCAAAAUUUCAUGUGCGCUGCCGUCCACGCAAGCCACGCGCACAACGCGAUGUCCACGCAGGUACACGAAGCGCGGGAAGUUCCAACAUGGCCGCAAAUUUUUUUCGAAAUUCUAAACCGGUUAAUAUCUUGAACAAAUUUUAUCGACAUGUAUCCUUUAAACCUUAUUGAAACCAUAAUAUUUUACUCAUAAGGUGUUGUAUUUUGUGUUUAUAUAUUUUUUUUUUCUUAACUUGACCGUAGCUGUAUAAAAAUGGCAGGUCAUUUUCAACAAACGAGGUAGGGUUUUUAAUAUUAAAAGGUGGUUAAUAGUUAAUAGUUGCGAUAUUUUAACAAUUAAAAUGUAAAUGAGGUUAAUUUUAAAUGACUAAAAUUUGUUGGAAAUGAAAAGUAAGUUAAAAGGGAAAGUAAGCAAGUAGCUGUUGGCCAUAACUUCCAUGGCUGUUGAAAGAUUUUGCAGAUGGAAAUUUCAGGUGUGAAUUUUAUAUAUUUACCUAAAUUUUCAAAAGUUGAUGCGGCUUUUUUUCAUUAUUUUAAAGAUGCUGUAAAGUCUGUUCUGCACAUCAGUUCUGCUCGUAACAAAGGGGGACCCACAGAUAUAAGCAGGGCCUCUCUGAGAGAAAUUCGGGGGCCCGGACCAAAUUCUUAAUUUGGGUCCCUAUUUUUCCCCAAAAAUGUUGGUGAGCAGGGUGGAGGAGUGGGGAAGUAAAUUUUUUUCCCGGACAUUUCCAAAAAAAACAGCUCAAAAAAUGUUUCCGCACAAAUACAUGUAAAAACACGGGAAAAACACUUUUUUUCAGACCAAUACCAAUAAAAUGAAGGUCUAAAAAACGUUCCAAAUAAUUUUUUUACUCAUAUUGCACCUUUUGUGGCCCCCCCUUUUGCAAAUUUUGGGGCCCCCUUUAACUGGGGUCUGGGGCAAAUUGUCCCCUGAGAGGCCCUGGAUAUAAACAUUGCCCAAAUUUUGCAUCUUUCUAACUUUUUUGAAUUGAAACACAAAGUUUAUAUUUGUGUACUAGCAUAGCGAACAAGAAAAGUGUUAGAUCAUGGGCGUACCGGGCGGAGGGGAUGGCAGCCCCCCCCAGUUUGUUGGGCAAACAAAGCCAGUCGGGCAAUAUUCGUUUCACAGUCGGGCAAUAUUGGCUUAUUAUAAAAAUAAAUGGGACAAAUUCUGUCAAUUUUGUGGGAAAUUCUGUCAAAUUUGUGGGAAAAAUAUGCUAUCUAAUAGGAAUUUUUCGUAAUCACUCCUCCCGACAACGCGGGCAAAAUCCGAAAAAGUCUGGCAAAUUUCUUUCCGCCCCCCUAUUUUUUCCUUCCCGUACGCCCAUGUGUUAGAUAUUCAGUUUGUAUACAGGGCCGUCCCGAGGGACUCGCUUCAGGGGGGUGUUUGGUUAAAUCUACCUGAAAGUAUCAAAAGUUCGAAAUUUACCUGAAAAAUAUUUUUUUAUCUGAAAUUUUUUUUGGGCGACCUCCCCCCCCAAUUUUCGGUCAGUGUACCAUUUUAGGGGUCAAAAAUUUUUUCCGGACAUACCAAAAUUUUUCGUGAUGUAAAAAAUUUUUUUCCAGACAUCAGCAAUUUUCUCCAUUUAUCCAAAAAAAUUUUCUAAAAUCCAAAAAUUUUCUAAAAUUUUUGUAAAGUAACCUCAUUUUCCAAAUUCACACUUAUUUUUGUAAAUUAACUUUCUCUGGGCCUAGAAAUUACCUGAAUUUGUGUUCAUUUACCUGAAUUUAUUCUGCAAAUCUACCUGGAUUUACCUGAAAUUGCCCACAUGCACAAUUAUGGGGGGUGUUACACCCCCACACCCCCUUGGUCGCUACGGCCCUGUUUGUAUAUCAUAUUUUACAAAUAUAGCAGUUCAAAAUUAUGUAAACAAAGCGUUUGUUUACAUUACGGAUCUUUGAAUGUGUCAAACGCUAUAGUUCAAUUGUUAAAAAUGAUAUAGUUUUCCACCAUUCAGAACCCCAACCCAAUUGUGUGUGAAACCAAGGGCAUAGGAAGCUUGAUAAACUGGGGGGGGAGCUCAGUUCUAUGAGGUGCCUAGCCCUCCUGCUUUCUAUGCUCUUGUGUGAAUAUGGUUUAUACCCAUUUCUGAAAAUAAAUAUUUUCCUUGUUGCCAGGAUGUUGUGAUAGUAAGUGCAGUUCGAACUCCAGUUGGUUCUUUCAGAAGUUCCUUAUCAUCAGUUCCUGCAACAAAACUAGGUUCGGUUGCCAUCCAAGCUGCCAUUGAAAGAGCUGG